rnacentral:lncRNA from 1 species
AGCGAAGGGGUGGGGUGGGAUCUUGGUCCAGCUGGUACUGGAGCGGCGACAAUUUUGGCUAGUCUAAGAAGGGCAUUCGAGUGACCGUUGACAACGGGUGGGACAGCGUCAGAGCUGGAGGGAGAGCCAGCACUGUAUGCUUCCAGGACUUCUUGCUAGGUGCAUUAGUUUUUAUUUUUAAGAGUUGGGUAAAAGACAUUAAUUAGUUAGCAUCUCACUCAUCGGCGAUUUUCUACGGUAUGAUUUCAUCCAAAGAGGAUUUCUUAAUCGCACUGUGUGACACCGUUAGGGGACUUAGAGUGUCACUCGCCGCCUUAAAUCCUUUCGGGAACAAGCCAGGAUAUAAAUAAAUAAAGCUAGGUGUGGGUCUUCCCUUCACAAGGCGCUGGUAGGCAGACUAAAGACAGGCAACAGCUGAGUGUGCACACAGAACUAAAUAUUGAACGAAAUACGAGUGUCGGAAUAAAAUUCAUUGCCAUGUGCACGGCUUAUGAUUAUACAGAUCUUGGACAUAUCACGGACCUGAACGUCAACCCUGCAACACCGGAUAAAACAUCUAAUGUAGCUGGAAUAGACUCUGAAAGGACGUUAGGCAUUAUCUAAAUCAAGUCCCUCAUUUUACAGAUGAGUAAACUGACUCAGUGAAGUAUUUUGCUCAAGGUCGUUCAUCAAAUUAGUAGUUUAAUUAACUCAGUGUUCUAGGAAGCAGGGUAGUAGAAAAGCAUGGGAUUCGGAGUCUGAAAUCUUCCUUGGUUUCUGGUCCUUGUAGGCUGUUUUACAAGUGUAUCUUGGGCAAAUCCCUUAACGUCUUGCCAUUUAUUAAGGGCUUACUUACCACGUGGCAAACAAUCCACUUUGCAUGCUGUGUCAAUUACAUGCAGUAUGUCGUGUAGUUAUUACUGUCCCCAUUUUAUGAGGUAGUUUAGGUUUAAAGAUAUUAGAAAUUUACCCAAAGUUACGCAGUUAUAAACAUUGUAGUAAUUUCAAACUCAGGUCUUCGUGACUGCAAAGGCUGCUGUCUUAAGUAUUGUAAUACAUUAGAGCUCCGGAUUCCCUCCCACUCAAAACAGAGACUGAGACUCCAACCAAUUUCCACCAUUAUUGGGAGUCAAACGAGAGAGACUGUGGCAAUGUAUUCUAAGCUGUACAAAGGUAUAAACAUAUUCACUAGAUUUGUAGAAUGAAGUUAUUCCUUCCCUAUACUUUCCACUACAACAAUUCAGCCAAAAAGAUGGCUUUCAUACUAAGCAUAAGAAGGAACUUCACUGUAAUUAUGAUAUUCUAACCAAGAAUAUAUGCAUAUCUAGGCAAUAACCAAAGUGAAUAGAAUAAAAUUUAAUUCCUGAUAGAUUAAAUAGGCAAUAGCAAGGAAUGCUAACGCUCCUCAUAGCGUUCUUGUUGGAAGAAUCAUCUAGGAGGCAUUGGGAUUUCUGGUGCUUUUUAAGCAAUGAGAGAUAUCAGUCCACUGAAUGAGGAAGAGAAUAACGUUUAGUUUCGGACUAAAAGUUCAUCUGGACUACGGAAAACACGUUUGCCUCAAUCAGUGAAGAAGGUAUGCUGAGAGCUGAAAGAAAAGGAAAGCAGCAACAGUGAGAGCUCAGAAAUUCCCAGACUGUUUUGAUGAUAAGGUCCAAGAACUUGCCAUGUGAUCCAUCACUACUAGACUCCCACAACUGCAUUAGAUUUGUUCAGGAUUUUCAUAUAAUUUUCAUAACUGGCUAAGUUCUGAAAUAACCCAUCUUGAAGACAUAAACAAUGUGCAUUGAUGGCUAGCCAGACUCUGUCCUGCCACAGUUCUCCUCCUACUCUUCAUUUCUUACCCCAAGGAGUAGUAAACAUGAAUCCUGACCCACCAAUGCAGUCCCAGAACUGAGAAAAGAUUCACUGCAGCUAAACAGAUUAUUUUUGCACCUUUGGAAAGCAACUGAAAAAGGAAGCCUGGAAAAAAUCCUGCCUAACAAAGCAGCAGUACUCAAAUAGCUUUAACUAUAAGAAAGAACUGAUUCAAGAUAUGAGAAGAGAUUUAAGAUAUAAGAUUAAAUAUAAGUGUAAAUGAUAUCCUCAUUUUUAUUGAAAUGCUGUGUAUUCCUAUUAUUUCAGUGAAAUGUUAAAUGGCAAAGGAUGCAUUUUUUAGAUUAUUUUUUUCACUGAAUUUUAAACAGUCUUUGAAGCAGAUAUUUCAUAUAACAAUAUCCAGAAACAAUAACACAUAUGUGGAUAAAGUUGAGUGGUUGGAUAAUGUAUUGUGCAAAUUAUCAAGAAGAAAACCAUCUUAAAGAAAUAUUUUAGCUUAACAGCAUCAAUAAAUGGGACACC